rnacentral:rRNA from 1 species
GGCGAACGGGUGCGUAACACGUUAGGCGACCUGCCCCGAAGCGUGGGACAACACUGCGAAAGCGGUGCUAAUACCGCAUGAUCUCGCCGAGGUCAGAGUCUUGGCGAGCAAAGGCGCAAGCCGCUUUGGGAGGGGCCUGCGGCCCAUCAGCUAGUUGGUAGGGUAACGGCCUACCAAGGCGACGACGGGUAGGGGGCCUGAGAGGGUGGCCCCCCACACUGGCACUGAAAUACAGGCCAAACACCUACGGGUGG